UACGGGGGGAGCAAGCGUUAAUCGGAAUUACUGGGCGUAAAGCGUGCGCAGGCGGUUUUGUAAGUCAGAUGUGAAAUCCCCGGGCUUAACCUGGGAAUGGCAUUUGGGACUGCAAGGCUCGAGUGCGGCAGAGGAGACUGGAAUUCCUGGUGUAGCAGUGAAAUGCGUAGAUAUCAGGAGGAACACCGAUGGCGAAGGCAGGUCUCUGGGCUGACACUGACGCUCAUGCACGAAAGCGUGGGGAGCAAACAGG
rnacentral:rRNA from 1 species